rnacentral:misc_RNA from 1 species
GAUGAAGAACGUAGUGAAAUGCGAUACCUGGUGUGAAUUGCAGAAUCCCGCGAACCAUCGAGUCUUUGAACGCAAGUUGCGCCCGAGGCCACUCGGCCGAGGGCACGCCUGCCUGGGCGUCACGCCAAAACACGCUCCCAACCCCCCUCAUCGGGAAUAGGGAUGCGGCAUAUGGUCCCUCGUCUCGCAAGGGGCGGUGGGCCGAAGAUCGGGCUGCCGGCGGACCGCGCCGGACACAGCGCAUGGUGGGCGUCCUCGCUUUAUCAACGCAGUGCAUCCGACGCGUAGCCGGCGUGAUGGCCUCAAAACGACCCAGCAAACGAAGCGCACGUCGCUUCGACCGCGACCCCAGGUCAGGCGGGACUACCCGCUGAGUUUAAGCAUAUCAAUAAGCGGAGGA